ACUCCUGCGGGAGGCAGCAGUGGGGAAUAUUGCACAAUGGGCGCAAGCCUGAUGCAGCCAUGCCGCGUGUAUGAAGAAGGCCUUCGGGUUGUAAAGUACUUUCAGCGGGGAGGAAGGCGAUAAGGUUAAUAACCUUGUUGAUUGACGUUACCCGCAGAAGAAGCUCCGGCUAACUCCGUGCCAGCAGCCGCGGUAAUACGGAGGGUGCAAGCGUUAAUCGGUAUUACUGGGCGUAAAGCGCACGCAGGCGGUCUGUCAAGUCGGAUGUGAAAUCCCCGGGCUCAACCUGGGAACUGCAUUCGAAACUGGCAGGCUAGAGUCUUGUAGAGGGGGGUAGAAUUCCAGGUGUAGCGGUGAAAUGCGUAGAGAUCUGGAGGAAUACCGGUGGCGAAGGCGGCCCCCUGGACAAAGACUGACGCUCAGGUGCGAAAGCGUGGGGAGCAAACAGGAUUAGAAACCCCUGUAGUCCCAUGA
rnacentral:rRNA from 1 species